AUUGAACGCUGGCGGCAUGCUUUACACAUGCAAGUCGAACGGUAACAGGUUAAGCUGACGAGUGGCGAACGGGUGAGUAAUGCAUCGGAACGUGCCCGGUCGUGGGGGAUAACGCAGCGAAAGCUGCGCUAAUACCGCAUACGAUCUGAGGAUGAAAGCGGGGGACCGUAAGGCCUCGCGCGAUCGGAGCGGCCGAUGUCAGAUUAGGUAGGUGGUGGGGUAAAGGCUCACCAAGCCAACGAUCUGUAGCUGGUCUGAGAGGACGACCAGCCACACUGGGACUGAGACACGGCCCAGACUCCUACGGGAGGCAGCAGUGGGGAAUUUUGGACAAUGGGCGAAAGCCUGAUCCAGCAAUGCCGCGUGCAGGAAGAAGGCCUUCGGGUUGUAAACUGCUUUUGUACGGAGCGAAAAGGUCUCCUCUAAUACAGGGGGCUCAUGACGGUACCGUAAGAAUAAGCACCGGCUACCUACGUGCCAGCCGCCCCGUAA
rnacentral:rRNA from 1 species